rnacentral:misc_RNA from 1 species
GAUGAAGAACGUAGCGAAAUGCGAUAAGUAAUGUGAAUUGCAGAAUUCAGUGAAUCAUCGAAUCUUUGAACGCACAUUGCGCCCUCUGGUAUUCCGGGGGGCAUGCCUGUUCGAGCGUCAUUAUAACCACUCAAGCUCUCGCUUGGUAUUGGGGUUCGCGGUUCCGCGGCCCCUAAAAUCAGUGGCGGUGCCUGUCGGCUCUACGCGUAGUAAUACUCCUCGCGAUUGAGUCCGGUAGGUCUACUUGCCAGCAACCCCCAAUUUUUACAGGUUGACCUCGGAUCAGGUAGGGAUACCCGCUGAACUUAAGCAUAUCAAUAGGCGGAGGA